rnacentral:rRNA from 1 species
UGAGGGAAAGUUGCAAAGAACUUUGAAGAGAGAGUUCAAGAGUACGUGAAACUGCUCAGAGGUAAACGGGUGGGCCCUCGAAAUCCCCUCGCGGGGGGAUUCAGUCGGGAGGUCGCCGGAUGACCACAGUCGCCGGUACGGACGCCGUAGUAGCGUCGGUCCGCGGUCAGAGUCCGGCUUCCGCCCGACGCACUUCCCCCCGCGCUGCGGACGCCGCAGCCCGCUGGGGGCCGGCCAUGAGGACGUGCACCGGCAGGUGACGGGAGGCCCCUCCUCGCGAGUGGGCAGCCCGUUGUUAGCCAGCGCGUUUUCCGGGCGCGGCACCCGGCGGAGGUCGAUGCUCCCUUGUCUCGGGGAGCGAGCCGUCCCCUCGCAGUUCGAGAACUGGCGAGCGGGCCCCGCCUCAGGCGUUAUGCUGGCUGAAGCCGGCGGAACACCCCUCUAGCGGUGACCGCCGGAGCGAGCUCGUCGUUGUAAGUGUGGCGGGCGAUCCGCCCGAGGGUUGAGAUGCCAAAGACGGCUGGCGGCGAGUAGGUCGGUAACCCACCCGACCCGUCUUGAAACACGGACCAAGGAGUCUAACAUGUGCGCAAGUCAAUUGGUCUUGCUCAGGCCUAAGGGCCGAAUGAAAGUGAAGGUCGGGCUUUAGGAACCCGUACCGCGUUGGGAUCCCGCCCUAAAAAAGCGGGCGCACCAACGGCACGUCCGUUCCGAUUUAUCGGUCGGCCGUAGCGUGAGCGUACACGUUGGGACCCGAAAGAUGGUGAACUAUGCGUGGGCAGGGUGAAGUCAGGGGAAACCCUGGUGGAAGCCCGCAGCGGUUCUGACGUGCAAAUCGAUCGUCGGAUCCACG